AGCUUUGCGCAGUGGCGAUAUCGUAACCAAUGAGGUACAACCGAGGUGCGAUUAUUGCUAGUUGAAAACCAAGCUAUUUUUGCAAUGCACCGCCAGUGUUUUGGACGUAAAUCUAACUUUGACAGUAGAUUGAAAGUUUA
rnacentral:snRNA from 1 species